rnacentral:ncRNA from 1 species
AGAGUCUAAUAUAGAUAGCCCCUUCGUACGAAAGGAGUUGGGUAUGCUGAUCUAUGGUUUACCUGUUGUUUAAUAUUGAUAUUAUGUAUCUUAUACUAUUUUCACUUAAGUAGUAUUGUUUAUUAAGCAUGGCAGGAAAGCUAAGUCAGUUAGAGAUAAGUGCUGAAUGCAUUUAAGCGCGAAGCUUACUAUACUAUACUCUUAUAAACGUAGUAGAACACUACGAAUAAUUUUUUCAUAGGCUUUAGUUGUAAGAAUCUUAAUUGUUUUUAGGCAUAAAGUACUAAUUUUAUA